AUGGUUUUAAAAUUACAAAAUCAUGAUUUAUAUACUUCAACUGAGCCAAAACCAUGAAAUUGACUAUUAGAAACUUUUAACUUUGGUGUUUUAGGCUAAAUCAUGCACAUACAGACAUACUAAGACAAUGGCAGCUAUGAGCAAGGUCAGAUUCCUAUUUAACACAUCGGCAUUGAUAUCGCGCAUCACAGGUUUGUUUUAACCACCUACUCUCUUGUACAUUGGUUCCUUCUAUGUGAGUGAUUGAUUCUCUGACUCUAUUUUCAUCCAUCUGCAGUUAUCAUCCGCUCCAAAAGGUAAAACUGGGAGAAAGAAUGCCGAUGUCAUCUUCUAUAAAAUUCAACUACAACAUAUCUGUAUUUGUC
rnacentral:lncRNA from 1 species